UCGAGUGGCGAACGGGUGAGUAACACGUGGGUGAUCUGCCCUGCACUUCGGGAUAAGCCUGGGAAACUGGGUCUAAUACCGGAUAGGAGCCAUUUUUAGUGUGAUGGUUGGAAAGUUUUUUCGGUGUAGGAUGAGCUCGCGGCCUAUCAGCUUGUUGGUGGGGUAAUGGCCUACCAAGGCGGCGACGGGUAGCCGGCCUGAGAGGGUGGACGGCCACAUUGGGACUGAGAUACGGCCCAGACUCCUACGGGAGGCAGCAGUGGGGAAUAUUGCACAAUGGGCGCAAGCCUGAUGCAGCGACGCCGCGUGGGGGAUGACGGCCUUCGGGUUGUAAACUCCUUUCGCUAGGGACGAAGCUUUUUGUGACGGUACCUAGAUAAGAAGCACCGGCUAACUACGUGCCAGCAGCCGCGGUAAUACGUAGGGUGCGAGCGUUGUCCGGAAUUACUGGGCGUAAAGGGCUCGUAGGUGGUUUGUCGCGUCGUCUGUGAAAUUCCGGGGCUUAACUCCGGGCGUGCAGGCGAUACGGGCAUAACUUGAGUACUGUAGGGGUAACUGGAAUUCCUGGUGUAGCGGUGAAAUGCGCAGAUAUCAGGAGGAACACCGAUGGCGAAGGCAGGUUACUGGGCAGUUACUGACGCUGAGGAGCGAAAGCAUGGGUAGCGAACAGGAUUAGAUACCCUGGUAGUCCAUGCCGUAAACGGUGGGCGCUAGGUGUGAGGGUCUUUUCACGACUUUCGUGCCGUAGCUAACGCAUUAAGCGCCCCGCCUGGGGAGUACGGCCGCAAGGCUAAAACUCAAAGGAAUUGACGGGGGCCCGCACAAGCGGCGGAGCAUGUGGAUUAAUUCGAUGCAACGCGAAGAACCUUACCUGGGCUUGACA
rnacentral:rRNA from 1 species